AUGUGACGUAAGCAGUAAGCACGCUGUUCAAGCCAUUUUUACUGCGCAUAAACCUUACUGCGCAUAUGUAGUUUUAGACAAGUAAUGUGUAGUUUUCACACACGCCCACAAUGGUGGCAGCAACGAGCCUCGAACUCAAACCCCAUGACUACUUACGAUCACCAAUAGCUGUAUUCACACUAGAAAUUCGCGAACGCGACCGCGUCCGGUGUGCGGAGCCCUUAAUAGCGCCAACGGUAGGAUUCCAGGUUCGAGUCUCACUGCUGGUGGUUUCUCAUUAAACGUUGUGUAUCAAAACGUAAAUGUGGUAACUCCUAAGUGCGCACGAGGUGUACGUAACAGAACACCCGUAUUAUAAUGACCCAAUGCGAGGACCUUCUGGUUAUGUAACCGGACCGUGAUUUGGGAUUCCUACCAAGAAGCAUGAAGUGUAGGAACAGCCGUGUUGUAUCGACUACCACGCGAUGAUGAGUACGCGUCUAUCAAUAUGGAUCUGUGACGUUAUAAUGGAAACUGUAAUUCCAGAAUUCGAUCGAAAACUGAGGAAAGCGUUCCAGAACAGCGCCACCACCUGGAUGUAGAUCAUCCUGGGGGAGAGGGGGUUAAUUGGGAUUACUAAACCCACCAUCCAGCAUGAGCGAAUCACGUUCCAAGAAUUCUCGCUAAAUAUCCGACACGCUUCAUUGGUUCCUUUGUUUGAUAAGAUUGGGUGAAGGAAGACGAAACCCCCGUUGAUGAGGGGCGCGAAUACAGCCUGGUGGGGUUGGCAGCUAUGAGGUUUGAACCCCGCACCCUCCAGAUGCAUAUACCAACAUGUAACCACUGAGCCACAACAAGUGAAUGAUUAUGACAUCACAGCAUACCUGAUCAAGCAUGACGGUACGAAUAACACUGAGGUUCAAACGCUUCAAGAAUCCGAGCCACACCGUCACUAGAGGGCCCUAGAAAGUUAUGACAACAUAAUGACGGUUGUGCUAAAAAUAGAACACUCAUUAUGAAGAGAACAAUACAAUUUAUUUGUAAACGAAGACGGAACAG